rfam:Sorghum bicolor cultivar BTx623 chromosome 1, whole genome shotgun sequence.
GUAGUCGGAUUCACAUCAAUCUACAUGUGUUGGGGUGAGUUGCAGUGGAAAUUGAACUAAAUUUUAUCUCAAUCCACUCCAACAUAUGUGGAUUGAGGUGAAUCCGACA